AGAUUCUCCUCUUUUCGAAUCUUUCACGGUGCCAGAGCUGUCUCUGUGGAUUACAAUCCCACGGGCUUCACGGGACAUUACGUGCGGCAAUGACGCUUAAGAAAAAUACGUAUCUGCACGACGGUCAAGUCAUCCUAGAUUAAUACAACGUGACUUUAGCUACUAGCAACGAAAAUCAGUAAGGAAGAAUAUUAAGAGUGCGCCUCGUUUUCUAUCGACACUCGUAAUUCGAUCGUUCGCCGCAUGAUACGACGUGGCGCCCAUAAAUCCCCCUAUGGAUUUUAAUUAAAGGCCCCACGGGGCCCCUCAAGAGCCCUACUAUAACUUCGGCCCUGCUGAAGGAGGUACAGGACUAACCAUAGCUUGUGUGCUUCCAUAUGUAUACAUAGCACGCUGCCGCUGUAUUAGCCGCCCUAAUGAACUCGUGCGUCGCUCGCCCAAGUCGACGCUUUAUAUUAUUUAUCGCCUGUACGCGAGUUAUUUCUACUUGCUUCACUCGCCUUGGAGCAACCCUCGUUACGGUCUGACUAGACAUGAAAUAAUUGAUCUUCAUAUGUAUACUGUAGACUUUGUAUACAUAUAAUAUAUAUACGUAUACAUAAUAUAGUGAAAGAAAAUAAGGCACCGAACACUUUGGAAUCGCUGGAACUCAGUCAGCUAGGAUGAAUUCUGCGUUGAAGGACUUUGAGAUCUUUGUUCUCGGCAAGAAGAAGAAAUCAAGGAGACGCAAGAAGAUCCUGGCUCGUGGAUUCUGUAGGAGCGAUUCCCUGCGACAUUCCGAGCAAAGUCAGCGACGUGUCUUCGGCUUCCACGCAUUUAUUAGCCGCUUGAAUCCUCCCUGUAAAAACUGGACUCUGAUCGAACUGGACUUCACGUAUGCGAAUACGUGGCGAAGUGAGCUCGAGGCACAAGACGUUCCCUAGUAAUUUACUCAUGGAUUCCUCGAUUCAUAGUAAUACCUAAUACGUUUAGGGGUAUACUUAAUCUUUUGGUCUUAAAUUUUAAUAGACGUUUUAUGGGAAUCUUGAUUGAUACGAAUACUGGUCGAAAGCUUUUACUACCUCCCGCGACGUGGAUAUUCACGUGAGGUUAUGUUAUAUACCUUUUAUGUACAACAUAAAGGCACAUACGCAAUGCAGUGUAAAGGCGGUUACGUACACGGGCGAAUUCCGUCUCAUAAGAAGCCAUCCAAUUCCUGUUCCCAUCUUCGAGAAGCGGCAGCUGAACAUCUCAUUGUUGCCAGCGGGAACAUCUGAGAAGAGAAUAACGUAGUGGAAACGAAAUGGAGUUCACGAACGGGGAACGAAGUGGAUAGGGACUGGCUGGGGACGUAUCAAAAACUUGUCCCCGUGUUUUUCGUGAGGAACUAGGGAGUGGGUAAAAUGGCGAUGUACGUUGUAGGAUAGGAUAAAAAUGAAAGCGGAAUUUUUGAAGGCAUACGAUGAAAAACUUGAAAAUCCACAGUGGCAUCGUGCGUCGAUGAAAUCCUAUUAUUUUUAUUAUUUUCAUUCUGUGCUUUUUUCUCCGUACCUGUGCGCUCUCAAUUUUGUCUUCAGACAAUGCUUAAUACUCGGAAUCGUUUGAAGAUCAGAAGCCGACCUCGAGAAUCCUUUAACGCACGAAGCUUAAAUCCGUUCUCUAUUAUUAUACUAUUCUUUGUCUUUCUUUUCUCCCUUUUUUUUCUUGCUCUUCCGCAUUUUCGUCUCGACCUAUCGCUAGAGACUGCUACGUAAUUAAGGCGUAUAUCGUAUUACCCCCUAGUCUUAUGUGUUGGUGUGCGCGUGCACCGUUGCAUAACUCAGCAACAUAACCUAAGAAUCUCUUUCGAUUUAACUACUGAACAAAAUGGGAGCUUGGUAGUGCUAGGGAUUUUUUUUAGAGUAUAGGGACUUUAUAUCUACCAGCUCCUCGUGCCAGUCUCGCAAUUAGUUCCAGAUUCUGAUUCCAAGGAAUUUCCUUUGAUCCAUGUAUAGCCAAGGACCCAACAAUACUCCAGGUAUACGCAUCCUGGGCUUUACUCUUUGUGGACGAUCCUCCUAACGUAUUACGUCCAAGCAUAUAUACUAAAUACCGCAAAUCCUUUAUCAGGUCAUUCAGGAAUCACUGGAGCGAAAAAUAAAAAUUCACUAUACCCACAAAAGAAUCUUUAGGUAUAUUUUAACGUUGCUUAUGGAUAUUUGAACUGUCUAUUGAAAUAUUUUAAGAUCGACUUCCACGUGGGAAACGAUUAGCGAUAAUUUUUUUGUAUUAUUAUCUAAUGUGUUAUACGUUUAAGUAUUUAUAGUGCAAAACGCAAAAACCACCAGGGCACGGUAACGUUCGAAGUCUCAGUUAAGUGGAGUCGCCGUUUCGCUGUGAAAUCGAGAGUAAAAAAUUCGCAUCUUCCUCAUCCGGUUGCCAUGCCAGAGUGCGGCACAUGCGCGGCUAAUUACGGUCCUCUUUGAUGAGCCGACAGAGACUCUUCGUGUUGCACCAGCCGUCAGUGCAGUUGCAGCUGCACAUGAAGCAUAACGUGUUCACCAAGAGGCGGCAUUAUUUUAGAUAGACUUGAACUUUUGAAAAAUAUUACACGAAGUUACAAGCGUUUUGAAGAAGACGUUAAUUAUAUUUUUAAUUACUUAAAAAAUUCGCUAACGACUUUUCAUAAUUAUUUUCAAAUUAUUAUCCAACGAUUAUUUAAUUGCUAGCGCGUUACGCGUUGUGCCUUUAUGUAUGUCUAGUAAAGGAAGAGGCUUCAGGCCCUUUCGAGGGACUUACGAAUCGGUGCACGAAGACACCGCUUUUGGGACCAAUUCAUUAAAGCCGCCCAGGGCGGCGAAUGAUUGCUUAUAGCCUAUAUUUCAAGGGGAGCAUUAAAUCCAUGUUAUUAGGGGUUAUUACCGAGUAAUGAGAGACCGUCGCUCCAUUUACGUAUCUGCCUGCCUUCUACUCGUCUGCAGGAAAACACGUCAUUUCCCAUAGCAGAUUUCUGUUUAGGAUAAAAUAUAAAUUAUCAUCAACAUUUAAUAUAGUAUUUAUUAUAUAUUUUUAAACAAAAAAUAUGUACAGAGUCGAUGUAAAAUUAUUUUUUUUAAGAAAAAAAAUUUUGAA